GUACUUCGGUAUGAGUAAAGUGGCGCACGGGUGAGUAACACGUAGGUGACCUGCCUAUUAAUGGGGAAUAACCAGAAGAAAUUUUGGCUAAUACCGCAUACGAAGCACAAAUCUUAGAGUAGUGCUUGAAAGGAUGCCUCUGUAUAUGCAUUCGUUAAUAGAUGGGCCUGCGGGACAUUAGCUAGUUGGUGGGGUAAAGGCCUACCAAGGCAACGAUGUCUAUCCGGUCUGAGAGGAUGAUCGGACACACUGGAACUGAGACACGGUCCAGACUCCUACGGGAGGCAGCAGUGGGGAAUAUUGGACAAUGGGCGAAAGCCUGAUCCAGCCAUGCCGCGUGUGUGAAGAAGGUCUUCGGAUUGUAAAGCACUUUAAGUUGGGAGGAAGGGCAGUAAGUUAAUACCUUGCUGUUUUGACGUUACCGACAGAAUAAGCACCGGCUAACUCUGUGCCAGCAGCCGCGGUAAUACAGAGGGUGCAAGCGUUAAUCGGAAUUACUGGGCGUAAAGCGCGCGUAGGUGGUUUGUUAAGUUGGAUGUGAAAGCCCCGGGCUCAACCUGGGAACUGCAUCCAAAACUGGCAAGCUAGAGUACGGUAGAGGGUGGUGGAAUUUCCUGUGUAGCGGUGAAAUGCGUAGAUAUAGGAAGGAACACCAGUGGCGAAGGCGACCACCUGGACUGAUACUGACACUGAGGUGCGAAAGCGUGGGGAGCAAACAGGAUUAGAUACCCUGGUAGUCCACGCCGUAAACGAUGAUAACUAGCCGUUGGAUUUGAUCCAGUGGCGCCCUUAAAUCUGACAAGUUAGUUUUUUCUGGAUCUAAUGGUCCUGUAUUUGGUUGGAAUUUUGUAAAAGAUAGAUACCUUAAAACAUAUUCAACAAAAGAAUUAAU
rnacentral:rRNA from 1 species